rnacentral:rRNA from 1 species
CACGUAGGGGGCAAGCGUUGUCCGGAUUUAUUGGGCGUAAAGAGCUCGUAGGUGGCUGAGUAAGUCGGAUGUUAAAUCCCCAGGCUCAACCUGGGACACCCACCCGAUACUGCUCUGGCUAGAGUCCGGUAGGGGAGCGUGGAAUUCCUGGUGUAGCGGUGAAAUGCGCAGAUAUCAGGAGGAACACCGGUGGCGAAGGCGGGUCUCUGGGCAGUAACUGACGCUGAGGAGCGAAAGCGUGGGGAGCGAACAGG